rnacentral:piRNA from 1 species
CAAGAAACGGGGAGAGAACUCUGC